UACGAAGGGGGCUAGCGUUGCUCGGAAUCACUGGGCGUAAAGCGCACGUAGGCGGCUUUUUAAGUCAGGGGUGAAAUCCUGGAGCUCAACUCCAGAACUGCCUUUGAUACUGGGAAGCUUGAGUCCGGAAGAGGUGAGUGGAACUCCGAGUGUAGAGAUGAAAUUCGUAGAUAUUCGGAAGAACACCAGUGGCGAAGGCGGCUCACUGGUCCGGUACUGACGCUGAGGUGCGAAAGCGUGGGGAGCAAACAGG
rnacentral:rRNA from 1 species